rnacentral:lncRNA from 12 species
ACUGACUGACACUGAUGAGGUUCCUCUGUGUCUCUGCUCCAGGAUGAGCCGGCCCAGCUCCCUCAGCCUCUCCUCAGAAGAGAGAUGCUCUAGUCCCUUGAUCAACUUUGUUGCUGCUGGACUAGGAGCUGGACCAGGAACUCAAUGCCUCUUGCACUGAGGAGCCCAGAACUGGACAUCGUAAAUACUACAAAUAAUAAUAAAUUUGAACAGCAUAAUGCAUUAACUUUGGAACCAGGUGUUUGCAGCUGGGUGUGCCGUUCCUCUCUGAAAAGAAAGACCCUGUCCCUGUUAUUUGUCUGCUGCAAGUCUCAGCCCUCGGGGGAUGUGUCUGGAGUUGGUGCUGGACAUCCUGCCCUGAAGGGAGAGAACCGUGGAGCCUGCAGAGAUAAGCAUGGAGCAGGAUGCCAUACAAAAACUGAGAGGUUGCAAGAGCCUGGGGUACACACAGCUGUGACCUGCCCUGUUUUCUCCAUGCCGGAAAAGUCCCACUCCUGAGGAUGUGAUGUCUUGGGUGCCCAUGUCCUGCUGCUCACUCCAUCCUGCCAGAAGUGACUCCAUCAUUCUGUUUUUCCAGCUCUGCCUGCUCUCAGCAAAACACAACUGGAGCAGGAGCAGCCUCCCCAGGCAGACCUCUCUCAGCCCACAGGAAACCUCAAACCCUCACAUCCCCAUCUCACAACAGCCACCUCCAUGUCUUUAUUAAUCUGAAUACAUUCGGGUAUGUAUAUAUAUUUUUUCACAGGGAAAAAUAAAAUGUGACUUAAAAGAGGUUUAAAACAUUUUCUUCUUCUAACAGUGAGGUCCAUGCUGACAACAGGAUGAUACCAGCUGGGAUCUACCUUUCUGAUCUGAAAAUAUGAGGAUUACUCACAUGUCUAAAAAUAAGCCCAUGCUGAAAUUCCCUUGUUGGGUUAAGUUCUAAACCCUGCAAUUGUCACUUUUCCCACCAGUGUCAAUGGCUUAACUAAAUAUAUUGUCCACAUUGCUGCCUGACAUUCCCAGAUUGUUUCUUUUUCCCAUUUCACUGGAACUUCUGCACGUUUCUGUAUGUUUAUUUUACAUUUUGGUUGCUUGCUGUUCUUUUCACCAAUUCAUCACCUUUCCUGCUACAUUCCUUUCUCCAGCCAUAUAUGAUCUCCAAUCCUGUCCUUUCCAA